UACGUAGGGUGCAAGCGUUGUCCGGAAUUAUUGGGCGUAAAGAGCUCGUAGGCGGUUUGUCGCGUCGAAUGUGAAAACCCGGGGCUCAACCCCGGGCCUGCAUUCGAUACGGGCAGACUAGAGUUCGGUAGGGGAGGACUGGAAUUCCUGGUGUAGCGGUGAAAUGCGCAGAUAUCAGGAGGAACACCGAUGGCGAAGGCAGGUCUCUGGGCCACUACUGACGCUGAGAAGCGAAAGCAUGGGGAGCGAACAGG
rnacentral:rRNA from 1 species